rnacentral:lncRNA from 1 species
CCGGCUCCAGGGCUGGAUGUGCCCCGGCUCGGGGGUUGGAUGUGCCCCGGCUCCAGGGAUGGAUGUGCCCCGGCUCCAGGGCUGGAUGUGCCCCGGCUCCAGGGCUGGAUGUGCCCCGGCUCCAGGGCUGGAUGUGCCCUGACUCCGGGGGUUGGACGUGCCCCAGCUCCGGGGCUGGAUGUGCCCCGGCUCUGGGGGGGUUGGAUGUGCCCCACCUCCAGGGCUGGAUGUGCCCCGGCUCCAGGGGAUGAACGUGCCCCAGCUCCAGGGCUGGAUGUGCCCCGGGAUGUGCCCCAGCUCCAGGGCUGGAUGUGCCCCGGGAUGUGCCCCGACUCCAGGGCUGGAUGUGCCCCGGCUCCGGGGGCUGAACGGGCUCCGGGGGAUGAACGUGCCCCAGCCCGCGGGGGGAGCGGCCGGGGCUGUGCCUGCGCCGCUGCAGCGGGCUCGGAUCCCCCGGGGCUUUCUCCAGCGCUCCCUCAGCCCGCACGGAGCCCAGCCCGCUCCCAGCCCGCUCCCAGCCCGCUCCCAGCCCGCUCCCAGCCCGCUCCCAGCCCGCUCCCAGCGCAUCCCCGCAGCCCCGGCCCGCCCCGAGCCCAUGGCACCUGCACCCCAUGGAGCAGACCCCGAGGUGCCGCGAAUGGAUCCCAGAAUUCUCAUUUUCCUUCUCUACGUGAUGAUCCUGCACGAGCUGGUGAGCGGCUGGAUGCAGUACCAGAAGCAGAUGGCCAAGCCCAAGAAGCAGGCGGGGCCGGUGUGGUCCUCCAGCAGCACCCCCAGGGCAGCCCCCUCCGCCUUCUGCCGGCCGCUGGUGCACUCGGUGCGCAGGGAGCGGCACCGGGACUGGAGGAAGCCGGGCAGGAUCAUCCGCAAAGCCUGAGCGGGAUCUGCUGGGGGCGUGGGGAGGCUGCUGAGGCAGAGACAGCCCCCUCAGGUCUGCAGCACCCCCUCACCGAGAGCAUCCUCCAGGGAUCUGCGUCCUGCAUCCUCCCGGGCAUCCAUCCUGCCUGCAGAGCAGCCACACGGAGCAGGCACAGCCCGAGCUGGGACAAGGAUUUACCACCCAACACCAUGAAGUGACUUUUCUUUCUUCUUCCUGUUAUAAAUGAAAAUUUGUCCAGCCAAAUUAAUAUGAAAAAUAAAAUAUUUAUUUUGCAAUCAAAUUCUAUCUAGCCAGCCACAAGGAAAGAACAGAGCCGAGCCCGGGGUCAGCCCUGGGUGUGCAACAAGGAGUCAGCCUCAGCAGAGGUUUCCUCUGUGCCCACACACCUCCAUCCUGGCACAAGUGGGUUUUAUAGGGAAAAUUCCACCUGAGGCCAAGAUUUCAGCAAUCAGUCUUUUCUUCUAUUCAGAGUCUAUAGGUUAAUAAGAUUUUCUUUUUUAGUGAUGAGGGAGAACAAUUCAGUGUCAGGAGUUGUUGAAUCCCGUGAUGAAAUUUAUGGGAAUUCAUGAAAUUUACGGGAAUUCGGGAACGCUGUAUGCACAUGUAUCUGCCCAAGUAUUUCCAUGAGAUCCAUCCCAGGUUGUUCAUGCCACGAUCAGCACCUGGGGUUUCUGUAUCUCCCCAGACAUGGCCCAUCUCCUGGCGAGCUGUACCUUCUUAUUUGUAAAUCAGUUUCUAAUAUACACCCAGUCUCGCCUGUGAGGGUGAAGGGGAAUCCUAAUACAAACGUGUAUACUCCAACAAAUAUUCAAAAUCACACAUAUCAUAUUAGAAAUGGCGCAAAUUAUAUCUACUACACAUAACAUUCCCCAAGGGCUGAGUGGAUGGAGAGCAGAUUUCCCAGGGGAAAAUGGAAUUUGCAGGGAGUGCAGGAGUCUACCUGGGAAGACUCCCAAUGGUUUCAGGCUCCUCUUCUCCCACUCCAGGACUAAGUGGCAGCAGCAUUUCCCAAAGUGGCUGGAAAACCUCCAGUGUCCAGUUUGCCACCACUCCCAGGAGGAGCUGCCUCCCCUGGGACACCCAGAAGUCACAGCACUUUGGGAGUGCUGGCUCCCUGCUAAGUCUCAUGCACAAUUAUUUUCUGCUUUUCCCCACCUUUGUUAAAUGAAUUGCUCCAGGGAAGAGGAGGGAAAAUGUCCUGAACCGGUGACUCAGAGUUAUGUCACCAAAUGUAAUUUACUGCAAUGCCCUUGUAAUUAGCAUUUUUGGAGCCUUCCCAGCAGCUGAGGCAAAUAAAUGUUAAGAGCCACUUUCUAAUGAGCAGAUAGGUGGGGAAGGAACACAGUAAUGCUCUUUAAACUCUGCUGUUUAGGCAUAAAAUCAGAUUUUUGAGGCACAAGUCAGUUGUGCACCCUGCAGCCCAGAGAGCUGGAAUCGUGGAGCAUGGAAGGAUUCUGACACUGGGCUCUAACAGCAGCUGCCCAUGGCAAAACUGCUUCUUAUUUGCUGAACAUAAUAUUUGGCCCAAACACAGCCUGUUUGCCUCGUUGCCAACCAUUUGUGAGCCUGACUCAGGCUCAGACACAUUAUCCAGAAGCAGAUAGGAAGGGGAGUCGGAAUAGAUUAUGCAUUCAUUAUCCAGAAGUAGCCAUCAGAUACAUUUGCACAUUUGUCUGCUGCUCAGUUGUUUGCAAAUCGUUCCUGGUGGUUGAUGCUGUGUUUGUUCAGUCACCCAGGGCUGGAAGUUCCCAAUCCUCUCUCCCAGGCAGGCUGGAUCAGUGACUUGGAUGUAAAUCUCUGCUUUCACCUACAGGAGAUGAAGUUUCUACCUUGAAGUUCAUGCCUUGCGUUGAGAUGGUUUUGAAAAAGGAGGCAGAAACAGCUGUGACAGUUUCUGCACAUUUCAAAGCAUAAAUUCUGUAAAAUUAUGAAAUUGAAUUUAAAAAAGAUUGUGAAAUUCAGCAUAAAACCUGAAAUUUUGCCUCAGCUCUGGGACACUGGGGCUGUUCCCUUGUCCUGAUCCAUGCAGGUACAAGUGAGAGUUCCUGUGUGCUGGGGGAGUUUGCUGUCCAGGAGCUGAGUGUGUCUGGGGGAUGUUCUCCCCACUCUUCUGCCAGAGCCUGGGUGAGUUUGGGAGCUCUGGCUGUGGAAAAAGGGUUUGAAUUAAUUCCUGCAGUGGGGCAGGGUAGGUCUAGCCCCAGGACCACGCUGGGCUCCCGGCCCCAGCAGGACAGACAGCCUGGGCAGGGACAGAGAGAUGCACCUUUAAGGAAGGUGAAGGGCCAGGGCUGCCUUGCCCUGAUGAUCACAUGCUGGUUUUAUCCCUGUAAAUGUAAUAUUGUUUACUCCCAAUAAACUCUUUUGC